AUUGAACGCUGGCGGCAUGCCUAACACAUGCAAGUCGAACGAGUGGCGGACGGGUGAGUAAUGUAUGGGAAACUGCCUGAUCGAGGGGGAUAACUACUGGAAACGGUGGCUAAUACCGCAUACCAUCGGAUGUGCCCAGAUGGGAUUAGCUAGUAGGUGGGGUAAAGGCUCACCUAGGCGACGAUCCGUAGCUGGUCUGAGAGGAUGACCAGCCACACUGGAACUGAGACACGGGCCAGCCUCCUACGGGAGGCAGCAGUGGGGAAGAUGGGACAAUGGGCGAAAGCCUGAUGCAGCCAUGCCGCGUGUAUGAAGAAGGCCUUCGGGUUGUAAAGUACUUUCAGCGGGGAAGCGUUAUCCGCAGAAGAAGCACCGGCUAACUCCGUGCCAGCAGCCGCGGUAAUUC
rnacentral:rRNA from 1 species